rnacentral:lncRNA from 1 species
AGGGAUACUGCUAACUAAACAGGUGGUCGUGAUGAAAAAAAAUUGAAUAAAUUCCUAAGUAGUAUAAUUGAAAAAGCAAAUAUGUAGAUAAAAAGUGAUAUCAAACAAGCCACAAAAUACAAGAAAUUUAAACAAAUUCCUAAAAAGAUAAUUCUACUGUAUAAAUUUAAAUGAAUUUUAAUGCCACUUUCAUUCACACUGUAAAAAUGUAUUUUACUAUUACUAUAUAACAACACAGGGGAAAAUAAUUUUAAUAGACUAUUCUAACAUAGAAAUCAUGAAUAUCUUUCUCAGCAGGAAAUUUAAUGCUGGGGGAAUAAAUGCAUGUUAUUUUAAUUAAAAUUCUUACAGUACCUUCAAAAUCUAUUUCUCAACAGACUACUGAAUCCGAGUAACUACUUGGAAGAGGAAAAGUGAUAUAAGGAAAGCAUAUUGGCUACUUAAUCCCCUUAACCUAAAAAUGACAUACAUUCUACUGCAAAAAUUA